UGUUUCUGUAAAAAACAUUAAUCUUAGCAACUUCCAGUCCCUGAGGACAGCUAUUGCCAUUCCUGUAACAUCAUCUGCAGGAAAUAACUGUCAGCAAUACUGUCCAUCUGCAACAGAGCCACACUUGGUCCUACCUAGUCAAGGACACAGGUGGAAGAUUAUUUGAGAGACAACAACAGAAAACCUCAUGAUUUGGUAUUCACAGGAAAGUGAGAUUACCAAACUUUCAAUUGAUGUGUUGUUACAAAUAACCUCCAGCUAAAACUUCAUCUGAGUUACACAAAGGAGCACAGCACAGAGAAGAGGUGCUGAUAUGCAUGUAGGAAUGCCCUUUCAUUACUAGAGCUUGCUGAAGCUCAUGGCAUAUCAUGUGUGAAGGCAACUCUGUUCAUUAAUCAUUAAAGUUGGAAAAGACCACCAUACAGUGAUUGAGCACCUGGUGGAAGGCAGGGCCAAUCCAGAAGAUCUCAGGUUCAUGCAAUGAACCUGAAGGUGGA